ACCUUGGGAGCCCCGGGCUACUCUCUCACAGCCCUUGUUGCCCUGCGAUCUGUAGGUCCUUGGGGACGCAUAGUUAAGGUGCCAGGACAUCCUGGAAGCUGGGAAAUGCCCAUGGCUGGAGAAGGAAAGAAGGUGUGUUUUGCCUGAUUCAGGGGCUAUAGAGAGAACCAAGUUCUGCAGGCCUGUCACCUAAGUCUCAGGGCGGGGAGACCUUCCUUCACCACGGGUUUGAGGCUAUGGCUAAGUGGUAAGCCUUGGGGAGAUGCAGAAAGGAUCCAUCCCAGGCACUUGGCUAGAGGCAGGUUCCUGGGAUCUGAUAAAACUGAUAAUGGAGACGCUGGAGCUGAUCCGACAUAGCAAUGGUGUUGACUCCCUCCUUAUGUGUGGAUUGCUCAGCGGGGGAACUUGACUGUCCAACAUGCUGGGUGCAAGAACAGCAGAAAGGGGACUUUUAAGAUGUGACAAACAUGAGGCCUCUUCAGAGAGGACUUUGGAAACCAGGCCUUGCUUGGCUGAAUGCUAUCCCAGUGAUUGUACGUGCCCUGUUUGCUGAAUCUACUCAUCCUUAAGGGUACAUUUGCUUCCAGGUAACAUGUUUGUGAGUAAUACUACAAUGUGCAUAUAUCUAUUCCAUGUUCUGCUUUGUCUGUUUGGGAUAUUUUUCAUACACUGAUUCAGUACCAUGUGUAUUCCCUUGCUUUUGUUGUCUC
rnacentral:lncRNA from 1 species